rnacentral:lncRNA from 1 species
GGCUGUAAAACAACAAAAAGCAUAUUUAAAGGUUUCCACUGCUGGGAGAUUGCAGGGGGUAGUGAACGGGAGACAAUAGGGCUUUGAGAGAAGCUCAUUUACUUUUCUCUCUAGUGUACAUUUCAGUUAAUCAAUGAAAAGCUAUUAUUCCAUGUGCCAGACACUGUGCCAGACUGGGAAAUAUAGAACCAUCUUGGUUCUCAUGUAAUUUGCUGAUAGCCAUUCCAGGAAACACAUGUAAACCCUAUUGAAAAAUAUUUUAAAUCCCAGAACUUUCUUGCUGUUUCUGUCUGUCUCUCUCUGUGAUUUACCAAAUUCACAGCUAUGGGAAAUACAAAGGCUUCUAAGACACAUCACUACCUUGAGGAGCUUGACGUCUCACCUUAAAGAGAAGACAUAUGGAAAAGGAGAAAUAGUCCAAGGGAGACCCAAGGCCAACUGCUAAUUCUAGGUCCACCUGUAAGACAGAAAACUCAAUGACGGAUUACCUGUCCUUCCAGUGAAGCAGCAGUGAAGAAACUGGGCUUGGGGGACGGGGCUGGGCAUGAUGUGUGCAGAAAUAGCCUGAGAGCCACUGAUCUAGGUGGCCUGCUUUUCUUGCUAUUUCCCUUACGUGGUUGGGAUUCCCUCUGGAAUUUGAAAACUGGACUUUCUGAGGAAAUGGUGAAAAGUUGAACUACUAAGAAGGAACUUGCUAUAAACUGAAAGUUUCGUCCCCCUCAAAAUUCAUAGAGAGCUCCCUUGCCUUUGCCAGGUGAGAGCACAAGGAAAAAGACUGCUGUCUCUGAACCAGGAAAUGGGUCCUUACUGGACACGGAACAGGCAAGACCCUUAACCUUGGGCUUCGCAGCCUCCAGAACUGCAGGAAACAAAUAUUUGUUUAAAAGCCACCCAGAUUGUGACCUUCUGUUAUAGUAGCCCAACUGACUAAGCCGGAACUCUUUAGACAGUUCUGGAAGACAAUCAGAACUCCACCUCUGACACUAAGCUCAAUCACCUGGGAAGCAAUGAAUGCAUCUAGAAUUAUGUCCAAUGAAAGCUCUUGUCAAAAGUUCUAUCAAUACACGGUUGAAUCGAUAACCUCGCAAUGACUAUUUCCAAUAGGUCAAGACAGUUCAAAAUUAAAAUACGCUUCAGGAGUUCCCGUCAUGGCGCAGUGGUU